rnacentral:rRNA from 1 species
UGGGGAAUCUUAGACAAUGGGGCAACCCUGAUCUAGCCAUGCCGCGUGAGUGAUGAAGGCCUUAGGGUUGUAAAGCUCUUUCAGCUGGGAAGAUAAUGACGGUACCAGCAGAAGAAGCCCCGGCUAACUCCGUGCCAGCAGCCGCGGUAAUACGGAGGGGGCUAGCGUUGUUCGGAAUUACUGGGCGUAAAGCGCACGUAGGCGGACUGGAAAGUUGGGGGUGAAAUCCCGGGGCUCAACCUCGGAACUGCCUUCAAAACUAUCAGUCUGGAGUUCGAGAGAGGUGAGUGGAAUUCCGAGUGUAGAGGUGAAAUUCGUAGAUAUUCGGAGGAACACCAGUGGCGAAGGCGGCUCACUGGCUCGAUACUGACGCUGAGGUGCGAAAGCGUGGGGAGCAAACA